rnacentral:rRNA from 1 species
UACGAAGGGGGCUAGCGGUGUUCGGAAUUACUGGGCGUAAAGGGCGCGUAGGCGGCCUUCUAAGUCGAACGUGAAAUCCCCGGGCUCAACCCGGGAACUGCGUCCGAUACUGGAAGGCUUGAAUCCGGGAGAGGGAUGUGGAAUUCCAGGUGUAGCGGUGAAAUGCGUAGAUAUCUGGAGGAACACCGGUGGCGAAGGCGACAUCCUGGACCGGUAUUGACGCUGAGGCGCGAAAGCCAGGGGAGCAAACGGG